rnacentral:rRNA from 1 species
UACAGAGGUCUCAAGCGUUGUUCGGAUUCAUUGGGCGUAAAGGGUGCGUAGGUGGCGCUGUAAGUCAGGUGUGAAAUUUCGGAGCUUAACUCCGAAACUGCAUUUGAUACUGCGGUGCUUGAGGACUGGAGAGGAGACUGGAAUUCACGGUGUAGCAGUGAAAUGCGUAGAGAUCGUGAGGAAGACCAGUGGCGAAGGCGGGUCUCUGGACAGUUCCUGACACUGAGGCACGAAGGCCAGGGAGCAAACGGG